GAUCCUCAUGCCUCAGCCUCCCAAGUAGCUGGAAUUACAGGCUGGGACUGGGCGAGCCGACCUCGGAAGCCUUUCAGAUGGAGGGAGAAAGGCUGAACAGGAACCUUCGGAUGACGGGAACCCGAGCUGACCUUUCCACUGCUGGAGACUUCGUGGGAGACCCUGUGCUAGAACUUCCCAGGAAGUGCCUCCCUGAGAUUCCAGACCCACAGAAGCUGAGAAAAUACAUCAUCGUUCCCAGAGGCUAAGUGUGGGGCAUUUUGUUAGGCAGCAAUAGCUAACUCACACAAGGGCCUUCUUGGAAGGAGAGCUGCUUUUUGAGGGUGAGAAAAAGCAUUCCUAGAUUUUUGCCAGCAGUUGGUCAAACUGUGUCACAUGACCAUGACUAGACCAAUCUCUGGUUAGGGGUGUGAUCAUCUUGGACCAAUCAGGACCCUGCCCUGGGGCUGGGCCAUGGCUCCUGGGAAUCACUGAGGGUGCUGGAUGCUGGAUCCCAGCCAGGAAGGAGCGGCCGAGAUACUGCCUCCUGGACUCCAUAAUGUCCAAGCUGCCAUUUAUUGAACACUGACUGUAUGCUUGGGUUUUCACCCACACCAAGCUCUGGCCCCACAGUUUUCUCACCAGCAGCCCCUUUCCCUCCUCCCAGCCUCCGUACCCGCCCAUCCUGCCACACUGAAUGCUGUUUCUGCCCCAGUUGCUAGUUAGAAUCCCACGCUUCCUUCAAGGAAAACCUCACCUUGGAGUCUGUCUCCACUUCCUGUAAGAAGCCUUCCAAGAUCCCCCACGGGGACUCAUCAGACGAGGAUAGGGAGUGAUGUCAUCCUGACUAUCACGACUGCAAUCAUUUCACUGCCACGGAGCUGGGGUGCCCUAGGCGGGCAAUUUUCUAGCUGUGUGACCUUGGGCAAGUUACUUAACCUUUCUGUGCCUCGCCUCCCCUGUCUGUAAAAUGGAGAUCAUAUUAGUACUUCCCUUGUUGGGUCAUCAUCCGAGUUAAAUGUUAUACACGCAAAGUGCUCGGGACCUCGUCCAGCCCACAGGAAGCAUUAGAUAAAUGUUAGCUGCUGUCAUUCCUCUCCCUGUUCUCUCAGUCCCCAUCAGCGCUAAAGACUGACCCAGGUCCAAUUGUCCUGCUUUGCCUGUGGCUCACUGUGGAUUCACAUAUGCACCCAGAGCGUACCCAGGAGCACCACGGAGCCCUGGCAAACUGCACAAGACGACCUGUCACGCUCCAGGAUCACCUGGCAAAUUUUCUCAUGAAUAAAACUGGGAGCUAAAAAUGUCUCACCCUUUUCUCCACCUACAAACCCGUCAGUCUCCCCUCUCUACAGAGGGCACAAGGUUGCACAGAUUGUUCCUUAAAAGAAUGGAAAAGGCAUUCCGGAAUCCAGGGCUAAUACAAUUACUCUAAAAGCAUUUCUCCCCUGUUCGAAGUUAACUCGCUCCUAACGAUGAUAAACUCUGCCGUGCCUGGCCCUCCAGCGCGAGGUGGGGUGAUGAUUCUCCUAAGCAGCGUUUUUUCUGCCUCCCACCAGGGUCCUGGUGUUCUCCACGCUCUGUGGCAGCCAGCAUGCCAGCAGCAUAGGUUUGGGGAUCGCAGAAGGCAAGCACUGGGAGGCAUUUCAAAGCCGUCCCAGUGCUGUCCUGGAGAAGAAGCGGCUAGGCUGCUGUCUGCUGACCUCCUGGGUGCCUCUUCAGAGCUUUCCAAAACAAGGGCUAAAGGGAAAAGACAAUACGCCCUUCACCAGGAACCCCAGGAAGAUGCAGGAAUGUUUUGGCUCAUUUAAGCUGGAUAAGACCCAGAUCCUGGAGGCUGUUCUGCAGAUUUUGACACUCGGAACAAUAUUCCGGUUUUCACCGGGUGAGUCACUCUUGGGAGACGGAGCUGUGUUGUUAGCAGUUUCAUUUUGACUUUGUGACAACUCAUGCCCUCCCUACUCCCUUUAUGCCAGCCCCCCAAAAGCAUCUACUGCCUGAAGUGGAGAGAGGCCUGGCUUCUCUUCGUCUGCUCUGGGGAGACCCUGAGUAGGACUUGCUUCGGAGACUGGAGCAAACUUGUGCAGAGGGUUGCUUUGUGAAUUACCUGGCACCAUUGUUCAGGGAAUGAGCCACAGUGCUUUGAAGGUUUGAUACUCUGGAGUCCUUGGAUAUGCAGACGCCCAAAGAAAGAAGUGCUUUACCUUCAUGGCCUCAGAGCUGGGAACAUUCUGGACCUCGGUGCUGGAGCCUGCUUUCACUUUCUCUACCACCACAAUCUCAGACUUGGCCAGACAGGGCACUUCAGACCUUCUCCUGACCAACCAGCCCAGGUCUGACUGGUUUUCCCAAAAGUGCUCACUGCAUCACAUAUAGACUGUAGUGCACAUUAAAAUGAAUUAUGUCCGGAGAAUGCAAGAUGAUCAGGCAUGAACCGUUUUGACUCCAACAAUUAUAAUGGCUCUGUGCCCUCUAUGUGUCAGAGGCUAUGAAACAGGUGUUAAAAAGAAUGAGGUGACUGGCCACGCCUGUCAUCCCAGCACUGUGGAAGGCUAAGGCGGGUGGAUCACUUGAGGUCAAAAGUUCGAGACCAGCCUGGCCAAUACGGGGAACCCUGUCUCUACCAAAAAUACGAAAAUUAGCCAGGCAUGGUGGCGUGUGCCUGUAAUCCCAGCUACUCAGGAGGCUAAGGCAGGAGAAUUGCUUGAACCCAGGAAACAGAGGUGGCAGUGAGCUGAGAUCCUGUCAUUGCACUCCAGCCUGGGUGACAGAGCACAACUCCAUCUCAAAAGAAAAAAAAAAAAGAAUGAGGUGACCUCUGUGUGUCCAGCAUGAAUUGACGUCUCAGACAUGUUAAAUAAAAAAAGCAAGUCACAGAACAAUACACAGAAAAUGGUCCAAAACAGAAAUAGCAACACAAAAAUUUAAAAAUGAAAUCAAGAACUCUUCUACAAAGAGGUGGGAUAUGGCAUAGUAGUCCUGUGACCACUUUGAUCAAAGCCACAGCGGCUUGACCUCCCUCCAACAUGUGCUGGCUGCUGGCCCUGUCCCUCUCUGAGCCUCAGUUUCCCUGUCUGUGGAAUGGGGAUGAUAAAAGUAAAAGCCUUAGAGGGUUGCUGUGGAUCCCGCAAAGUUUGUGAAGUACAGGCGCCCAGCCUCGUUGACUGUGCUUAUCAUCUGUGCCAUGGGGACAGCCUCAGGGGGCGAGGAUCUCUUUCCAAAAGAUGUUACGGAAUUUCUCACAGCUAGUGCAUGUGGAUUACAUGAGUACAUUUUUAACAAGUAAAAAAAAAGAAAGUUAAGGAUGCUAUUUCUAAAGGGAAAAUAUGCAGGAAGUUUUUAAGACCCUGACCCCUCACACACCCCCUCAGGGGCCGGCUUGCAGUUUCGGAGUGAGCACACGUGGGUAGCUCAGCUCUGCGGCGGAGGCUGUGGUCAGAGGCAGCUGCCUGGCGGAGGCUAGAAGGGCCCCUGGACAUUUAUCAAGGCCGGGGUGGGGAGACAUGCUGCCCCCCACCCGAGGCCCCACUCACGUUACCUGGUGGCUGAGACAGAAGUUCCUCAGUGAAGCACGCUCCUUCCUGCCCGGCAUGAUGAGCAGAGAUUAAGCACUCUGUUGACACACAAAGAAACAGCCCCAUCUGGAAAAUUCCGCAGCAGGGCGAGGCUGGCCAGGCCUUUAAUACAGGGGCCUGGAGGCUCCUGAGUGUUUACUAAGAGCUCAGCGGAUUGGGGGUGAGAAGGGAACUCUCUCAGUUCAGUAGCAUGUUUUCACUGCACACCUACUGUGUGCCCGGCACCAUUCCACACACUCAGGACGUGGCAGGUAGAUAAAUAAAUGAACGUGAGGACUGGA